rnacentral:lncRNA from 1 species
AGGGGGACUCUAUAUCAGUAAAUCCAUUCCAUAUUAAUAUCCUGUCUAUUAAAUAAUCUGAAGGUAUGAUUAAAACUUAGGUAUUCUAGUUUGAAUACUUAUUACUGUCAUCAUUCUGGUUAUAUAAGGUUACAUAGUAAAUCAAAAGUGGCUUAAAACAAUAGCAAUGUUUAUUUUGCUUAUGAACACACAAUCUGGACAAGGACUCAAAAGAUAGUUUAUUUCUGCUCCACUCAGUUGUCAGCUGAGCCAAAGCCUGGGGGACUGAGAAAUCAUCUGACAGCUUCCUCACUCAAAUAUAUGUCCUGUCUCCUAAAUUUGGAAAACCUAAACAGGAGCUGGAACAGCAGGAAUUCCUUAGCCAUCCUACACAACCCUGCAGCAAUGUAUUUCCAUGUGAUCUCUCCAACACGGUGGAUUCAGAGUACAUGGACUCAGGGUUCUGGUGUUAGUUAGCUUUCCAUUGCUGUAAUAAGUACCUGAGAUAAGUCAACUUAAAAGGAGAAAAGUUUGUUUCUGUUCAGGUCUGGAGGUUUCAGUCCAUGGAUGGUUGGCUCACUUGGGCCCAUGAUGAGGCAGUACAUAAUUAUUUCCAUGUGAUCUCUCCAACACGGUGGAUUCAGAGUACAUGGACUCAGGGUUCUGGUGUUAGUUAGCUUUCCAUUGCUGUAAUAAGUACCUGAGAUAAGUCAACUUAAAAGGAGAAAAGUUUGUUUCUGUUCAGGUCUGGAGGUUUCAGUCCAUGGAUGGUUGGCUCACUUGGGCCCAUGAUGAGGCAGUACAUAAUAGUGGGAACAAGUAGAAGAGAAAAUGGUUCAUAGCAUGAAUUAAGGAAGGGGCUGGGAGUCCCAACAUCCCUUUCAUGGCCACACCCCCAUUGAGCAAACUCUCUGCCACUAAGUCCCAUCUCUUACUAUUUUCCAAUAGCUCUACAGGCUUCCAACAAAACCUUUAACAUAUAAGCCUUUGGAGGACAUACACAAAAACCAUAGCACAUGCUACAAGAAAGAAAGUAGGCCAGGAAGAAGCUGUAUUGCCUUUUAUGGCUUAGCCUAGGAACUCAUAUCAUUUUCAGCUCUACCACAUUCUAUUGAUCUACCCAGAUUUAAGGAAUGCUAACGGAGACUCCCACUUCUCAAUGGAGGAGUGUGAAAUCACACUGCAAGAAGAGCCUACAGAAUAGAUAGGAUAUCUAUGGGUAGCACCAUUUUGGAAAAUAUAAUCUGCCACAGUUAUCAGUUUUCACUCAAUGUAUCAGUCAGCGUUCUUGGUUACAUGCCACAGAAACCAGUUCUGGCAGACUUACAUGGGAAACAAAGUUUAUCUGAAGAAUACUGAAAACUCUAAGACUCAAAAGAAAAGCUGGAAGUCUGACAUGGAAAUGAGCCAGAACUGAGAGAUGCUUAAGGGAGGCUGAGAAAUAAAGAGACUCACCCACAGACAAAUAUGAUUAAUUUAGCUUUCUCAUCACCACAGCUGUGACUACACAAUGAUGUUCCUGGACUCUUGAUGCCACCAAUGCUAACAAGAGUAAACAACUUCUGUACCAUUGAGUCAUGUCCUCAAGAUUCAAAGUUCUAAGUGAGUGAUUCUGAUUGGCUUAGCCUGUAGCAUAUUUUAGGCCUAGCUUCCAGGGCAAGAUCUGACCCUUCUAGAAAAGGACUCCUGCUCCCUACAAAGGCUCAUACAAUAAAGAUUUCACCCCAAUAAGAAGAGACAUUCAGAAAACCAAAAGCCAAGCAAAUAUUUGAUAAACAUAAAACUAAUAGUCUUCUAAUUUUGACAUGAAGGAUUAUAACAUUUUCUGUUAAUAAAGGAUAAUAAUAUAGCCUGGUUAAUAACUAGGUUUUAACCUGGAGUAAAGGCCAAAUCCUCAGUCUAUGAUGCAAGUUCAUGUCCACAUAGUGAUUUUUAUUAUGUUAGCUAAAUCAUAAUUCUACUAGAGCAAUGUUCAAUUUUAACACUGUGGAUAUCCCACUAUGGAUAUUCAUGGAAAAUAGGGUGCAUAUACCUAGUGUAAGAACAAUAUUCAAACAUCUACCUUCAACUGUUUUGGAUUUAGAAUAAAUUUUUCCAUUAAAUUAUUAAUUCACCAGUUUAACACAAAAAUCUAAAUUAGUCUAAAUAUUUAUGCAGCUAACACUAGCCAAUAAUGGCUAUUCUGUUUAGAGAAUAUAAGUAGUACUUAAAACAUGGUUUUUAAGGGGAAGGAUGCCCAUGUGCUCAUUAAGACCUAGAACAUCCUUUCCUUGGCCUUACCAACAGAAAGACUCUCCUUGCCUUGGCUUUAUUUGGGAGCAGGAAAGUAAGUAACCUGUAAUAGUGGGAAGGCACAUAUAAAAGGUAACUGCUUAUAUGGAAAGAAAUUUCCCAUUGAUUAUUUUUAAGGCCUAGACAUUAUCUACAUCUUAGUAAAAGAACUCACCCAAAUAUUUUCAUAAACUUUUGAAUGCAAAUGUUGAUACAUAAGUAACUAAUUUUCAAAAAAAAGUCCUAAACAGCCAAAGCUAAUAUCUUACAUAAA